CUUACGGGUGGCAGCAGUCGAGAAUCAUUCACAAUGGGGGAAACCCUGAUGGUGCGACGCCGCGUGGGGGAAUGAAGGUCUUCGGAUUGUAAACCCCUGUCAUGUGGGAGCAAAUUAAAAAGAUAGUACCACAAGAGGAAGAGACGGCUAACUCUGUGACAGCAGCCGCGGUAAUACAGAGGUCUCAAGCGUGGUCCGGAAUCACUGGGCGUAAAGCGUGCGUAGGCUGUUUCGUAAGUCGUGUGUGAAAGGCGCGGGCUCAACCCGCGGACGGCACAUGAUACUGCGAGACUGGAGUGAGGGAGGGGGAAGCGGAAUUCUCGGUGUAGGAGUGAAAUGCGUAGAUAUCGAGAGGAACAGUCGUGGCGAAGGCGAGUUCCUGGAAAUUAACUGACGCUGAGGCGCGAAGGCCAGGGGAGCGAAAGGGAUUAGAUACCCGAGUAGUC
rnacentral:rRNA from 1 species